GCGGACUCCAUGGAGCAGGGGAAAACUGGUCGGGGAAGAAACCAACUCCUUUUGCGCCUUCAGAAGGCGAAGCCACCGGGCAGGAACAGCUGCCUCUGCAGAUCCGUGCGGCGAUAGUACAAGGCAGAGGGCGUUGGAUUUGCUGAGCCAUCCGGGGUUGAACAACAAACUCGCCACAGCCAUGCUGCUUGGGGAAACGGCAGGGAUUGUGGUCACGGUCCCUCUGGUUUUCAGACCUGGAUAAAAGAUCUGAAGUAAUUUUAAGUUGAGACUCUAUUCCCAGACCUGUCAACAAUAUAGUAUGAGUCCCAGAACUGAGUACUUUCAUUAUUACUCACCAAACUUUCUUUUUUUUUUUUUUUUUUUUUUUUUUUGAGACGGAGUCUCGCUCUGUCGCCCAGGCUGGAGUGCAGUGGCGCUAUCUCGGCUCACUGCAAGCUCCGCCUCCCGGGUUUACGCCAUUCUCCUGCCUCAGCCUCCCGAGUAGCUGGGACUACAGGCGCCCGCCACCUCGCCCGGCUAAUUUUUUUUGUAUUUUUAGUAGAGACGGGGUUUCAUUGUGUUAGCCAGGAUGGUCUCGAUCUCCUGACCUCGUGAUCCGCCCGUCUCGGCCUCCCAAAGUGCUGGGAUUACAGGCUUGAGCCACCGCGCCCAGCCACUCACCAAACUUUCAAGUGUGUCUGCUGACAUCUCCGUGCUCAGUCUGCUGGACUAUUGAUGUGAGCACUGCUCUGCUCCAGAGAAGCUCUUAGCACGUCCCAGUGGUGUUCAAAAUCUAACCCGAUCUCAAGGGUUCGUGAGGAAACCAAGGAUUGCCCGGCCAGGCUCAAGUAUUCCUCAUCCUUCUUCCUUCUGUCAUCAUUUGAGAAUGGUCACUGUAAGUGGCAUGAUUUGGUAACCAGAGGUCCUGAGCACAAAGGUUCUCAAGCCUGAACAGAUAUCGGAACCACUCACCUGGAGGGUUGGGCACACCGAUUGCCAGCCCUUACCCCAAGUUUCUAACUCAGUGAGUCUCGUGGGCGUGGGGGGCAAGAAUGCCCAUUUCCAGCAUUCUAGGCGGAGUCCCAGGUGAUGCUGACCACUAUGCUGCUUAGUUCAGUCCACUACUUCUUGACCACACCUGAGAGCUGAAGAGAAAGGAGCAACUUAUGCCUGCAGGUGACCUAGGGUAGGGACCCCAGGGCCCCAGGGGCUUCAGACCCAUUACACAAGGACCCCUCCCUGGGCAGACCUACCUGCAGAUGAGCUCUCAAUCCUGAGGUUCCUGUGGCCAGGGCAGGGGGAAAGGGAGGUGCCGCCUUCCUCCCUCACGUCAGUGCCCAGGCUCCGGGGACCGCAGGUGCCGUGGCCACAGCUUCUGGUUGUCCUCAUUGCAGGAAGAAAAGGGCUCCUUCCUAGAGUUCUCUGCAGUUCGUAGGCUGACGGCUCCCAUGCUGUCUCGGAAGGGAGGGCGACACUCAGUAGGAGGGGAUCUGACACUCUCUACUCAGAAACUCCUGCCUGCAACAGCCUCUCUGGCCGUGUGUUUGCAUUUUGGGCCUUUCUUCUCUGAUGAUAGAGUGUACGGCUUUGUCUCCCAUUCCCAGCAAAGGAAUUCCAGGCUUUGGGAAGCAUGCUGGGAUCCUUUGAUGCGGGCUGGGCCGCUGGCAAAAAAGAAUGUGUGUGAAGGAAUGCCGGGGGCAGGGCCAGCUAGGUCCGCGGAGUACUUGAGGCCGAUGCCUGUCCUGUCCACGCCCACCUGAGGCCUGUGCCACAUCCCCGACGUGAGAGUCCAGAGCCCACCCCCAGGCCUGUGCCACAUCCCGGAUGUGAGAGUCCAGAGCCGUUCCCACUGCCUGGCUGUCCCCACGCCACGGCCCACGCGUGGUGUGGCUCCCCCGCCUCAAGCUUCCCAUCUCCCUGGAGUUUGCCAGAAGGCUGGGGGUUCUGGGAUGGGUCUGAGUCCCUGCUGGCUCCCUUCCUAUGCUGUGUGAAAAAUGCUCUUUGAGCCUCAGUGUUUUGUUCACGCAGCACAAGGAGAGCUUAAUAAAUGGGUGCUUCUGUUGUUA
ensembl:lncRNA